rnacentral:tRNA from 1 species
AACCCCGUGGUGUAACGGUAGCACAACAGAUUUUGAUUCUGUUUGUUCAGGUUCGAAUCCUGGCGGGGUUGCCA